rnacentral:rRNA from 1 species
UGGGGAAUUUUGGACAAUGGACGCAAGUCUGAUCCAGCCAUUCCGCGUGCAGGAUGAAGGCCCUCGGGUUGUAAACUGCUUUUGUACGGAACGAAAAGGUUUCUAUUAAUACUAGGAGCUCAUGACGGUACCGUAAGAAUAAGCACCGGCUAACUACGUGCCAGCAGCCGCGGUAAUACGUAGGGUGCAAGCGUUAAUCGGAAUUACUGGGCGUAAAGCGUGCGCAGGCGGGUAUAUAAGACAGAUGUG